rnacentral:rRNA from 1 species
GUGUCCUACGGGGGGCAGCAGUCGGGAAUAUUGCACAAUGGAGGAAACUCUGAUGCAGUGACACCGCGUAUAGGAAGAAGGUUUUCGGAUUGUAAACUAUUUUAGACAGGGAAGAAAAAAGACAGUACCUGUAGAAUAAGCUCCGGCUAACUACGUGCCAGCAGCCGCGGUAAUACGUAGGGAGCAAGCGUUGUCCGGAUUUACUGGGCGUAAAGGGAGCGUAGGCGGAUUUUUAAGUGAGAUGUGAAAUACUCGGGCUCAACUUGAGUGCUGCAUUUCAAACUGGAAGUCUAGAGUGCAGGAGG